rnacentral:rRNA from 1 species
UGGGCAACCUGCCCUCAGCACUGGGAUAACCCCGGGAAACCGGGGCUAAUACCGGAUACGACCUCGGCGGGCAUCCGCUGAGGUGGAAAGUGUCAGUGGCUGAGGAUGGGCCCGCGGCCUAUCAGCUUGUUGGUGGGGUAACGGCCUACCAAGGCGACGACGGGUAGCCGGCCUGAGAGAGUGACCGGCCACACUGGGACUGAGACACGGCCCAGACUCCUACGGGAGGCA